GGUAACGGCUCACCAUGGCAAUGAUACGUAGCCGACCUGAGAGGGUAAUCGGCCACAUUGGGACUGAGACACGGCCCAAACUCCUACGGGAGGCAGCAGUAGGGAAUCUUCCACAAUGGACGAAAGUCUGAUGGAGCAACGCCGCGUGAGUGAAGAAGGGUUUCGGCUCGUAAAACUCUGUUGUUAAAGAAGAACAUAUCUGAGAGUAACUGUUCAGGUAUUGACGGUAUUUAACCAGAAAGCCACGGCUAACUACGUGCCAGCAGCCGCGGUAAUACGUAGGUGGCAAGCGUUGUCCGGAUUUAUUGGGCGUAAAGCGAGCGCAGGCGGUUUUUUAAGUCUGAUGUGAAAGCCUUCGGCUCAACCGAAGAAGUGCAUCGGAAACUGGGAAACUUGAGUGCAGAAGAGGACAGUGGAACUCCAUGUGUAGCGGUGAAAUGCGUAGAUAUAUGGAAGAACACCAGUGGCGAAGGCGGCUGUCUGGUCUGUAACUGACGCUGAGGCUCGAAAGUAUGGGUAGCAAACAGGAUUAGAUACCCUGGUAGUCCAUACCGUAAACGAUGAAUGCUAAGUGUUGGAGGGUUUCCGCCCUUCAGUGCUGCAGCUAACGCAUUAAGCAUUCCGCCUGGGGAGUACGGCCGCAAGGCUGAAACUCAAAGGAAUUGACGGGGGCCCGCACAAGCGGUGGAGCAUGUGGUUUAAUUCGAAGCUACGCGAAGAACCUUACCAGGUCUUGACAUACUAUGCAAAUCUAAGAGAUUAGACGUUCCCUUC
rnacentral:rRNA from 2 species